UACAGAGGGUGCGAGCGUUGUUCGGAAUUAUUGGGCGUAAAGCGCUUGUAGGCGGCACGUCAAGUCGCGUGUGAAAUCCCCAGGCUUAACCUGGGAAGUGCGCGCGAAACUGACGAGCUUGAGUGCCGGAGAGGGUCGCGGAAUUCCCGGUGUAGAGGUGAAAUUCGUAGAUAUCGGGAGGAACACCAGUGGCGAAGGCGGCGACCUGGACGGACACUGACGCUGAGACGCGAAAGCGUGGGGAGCAAUCAGG
rnacentral:rRNA from 1 species